rnacentral:rRNA from 1 species
AUGUCCUGGUGGAAAAUAUGCGUACCUAAAAAUCAAGGAGGGAUGGGAUUCCGUGAUAUUCAUUGUUUCAACUUAGUAUUGCUCGCCAAACAGGCAUGGCGUCUUCUGAAUAAUCAUAAUUCCCUGUGUGAUUCUAUCCCAAGUGCAAACUAUUACCCUGGCGGUGAUUCGCUAAAUGCUAAGUUAAGGAAAGGCUCCUCUUUUACUUGGCAGAGUAUUAUGGCAGGCACAAACAAUCUGAAACGUGGUUACAUCUAGCGAGUGAGGAAUGGACAUGAUAUCAAUAUGUGGGAAGAUGCCUGGAUACCAAACCACACCACUAGGAAAAUUGUCACGCCUAAGGGGGGGCUGUUAACGAAGCUAGGUGAUCUCGUUGACCCUGUUUCCAACAGUUGGGACGAGGACUUGAUUAGAAAAACUAUGUGGCCAAUUGAUGUUCAAACUAUUCUAUCAAUUCCAAUCCCGCGUCAUAAUAUGCUAGAUUUCAUUGCUUGGAUUUAUAUGAAAAAUGGUAUGUUCUCAGUUCGGUCAGCUUAUUCUAUGGAGUGGGACCACUAG